rnacentral:rRNA from 1 species
GACGAACGCUGGCGGCAUGCCUAAUACAUGCACGUAGAAAGAAGUUGCGAACGGGUGAGUAACGCGUAGGUAACCUGCCUCAUAGCGGGGGAUAACUCUUUGAAACGCUAACUAAUACCGCAUACUGUGAGCUGGACCUGCGUUGUAUUAGCUAGUUGGUGAGGUAAAGGCUCACACAGGCGACGAUACAUAGCCUACCUGAGAGGGUGAUCCGCCAACCGGGCACUGAGACGAGGCCAAGACUCCUAAGGGAGGAAACAGUAGGGAAUCUUCGGAAAGGGACGGAAGGCUGACCGAGCAACGCCGCGUGAGUGAAGAAGGUUGUCGGAUCGUAAAGCUCUGUUGUUAGAGAAGCGGUAACUAACCAGAAAGGGACGGCUAACUACGUGCCAGCAGCCGCGGUAAUAC